AAGGUGCUCUUUCCAAAAGAAUGAAGAUUGUCUAGAAGAUCCUAUCUGGAAUCCAGAAUCAGACUAGAGGAGCACCCUAUCAGCUUUGUUAUAUUUGGGGGUACAAGGUCAUUUUUCUCUUCCCAGAGUUCAAACAGCCAUGCUUUCUGCUUUUUGCUCAAUGCUUGUGGUGGUCCUGCUAGUAAUUCUCAGGACCAGUGGAGACACAGUGACCCAGACAGAAGGCCCUGUUACCCUCUGUGAGGGGACACCGCUGACCCUGAACUGCACCUACGAGAGCAGCUACUCAGUUGUUGUUUUCUGGUAUGUCCAGUACCAAAACAAAGAGCCUGAGCUCCUCCUGAAGAGCUCAUCAGAAAACCAGAGGGUAGAGCAUCGCGGUUUUCAGGCCGAUCUUAAGAGUGACAAGUCCUUCCACCUGGAGAAACGCUCAGUGCAAAUGUCAGACUCGGCCGUGUACUACUGCGUGCUGGGAGGCACAGUGAGAACAACAGGAGGGGGAGCUGAGCGCAAACCCAGAGCGGCACAGGAGGCACCUGGAAGUGGGCAGCCUGGAGGGCAGAAUGAUGACUUAUUUCUCUCCGGUCAGUGUCCCGGGCUGGGCACGAAGGAAGAACUAAUAAUUUUAGAAUUAAAAUGA